rnacentral:miRNA from 1 species
CAUACGACAAAGUUAAUUCUUC